rnacentral:rRNA from 1 species
UUACGGCCACAUCACGUUGAAAUACCUGUUCUCGUACGAUCACCGAAUUUAAACAACGUCGAGCCUGGCCAAUACCUAGAUGGGUGACUGCUUGGGAAUACCAAUUGCUGUAAG